CCGUGUUCUACAGGUAAUUAACUUAACCGCGGUCUACAGGUAAUUAACUUAACCGUGGUCUACAGGUGGUUAACAGCCUGUGGUCUACAGGUAGUUAACAGCCUGUGGUCUACAGGUAAUUAACAGCCUGUGGUCUACAGGUAGUUAACUUAACCGUGGUCUACAGGUAAUUAACUUAACUGUGGUCUACAGGUAGUUAACAGCCUGUGGUCUACAGGUAGUUAACAGCCUGUGGUCUACAGGUAGUUAACAGCCUGUGGUCUACA
ensembl:lncRNA